CACGUAUACCUUACCUCCUUUAGAUUAAUCAGCUUGUGUACUGCCGUCGUAAGCAGACCUCUAAAAGUAGAAGUGUGCAAGUAUGAUCAAUCUCAUCUACGUCAGGUCAAAGUGCAGCUAAUGAGGAGGUGAUGAUGGGUUACACCCUAAACAAAGACACGAAAUAUAAAUAUAAUAAAUAUAUAAAGGUGGACUUGGACGUAAUAUUGAUUCAAAAUUAUAAUGAAGUCGAAUCUAAGACAUGUACACAUCGCCCGUCACUCUUGCCCAAAGGCAAGAUAAGUCGUAACAAAGUAGGUGUAACGGAAGUUGCACCUGU
rnacentral:rRNA from 1 species